AGAAACCACAGUUAUAUUUGAUAAACCAGAGAAUACCACGCUUCCAGCUGACAGUGAUGAUCCAAUAUACGAGACCGUAUUAAAAGUGGUAUCGGGAGGUGUUGCUGCCACUACCAUUAUAACAGUGUUAACAAAACUUAAAGGAUACUUGAAUUCUGUAAGACAAGUCAGUCAAGGAAACGAUUCGGGGGCUGCAGAAGUUGACAAUUUUGUUAACGACGGAAUUGAAUUCAUCAGUUUUUCGGAUGCAGUGAUUUCGAAUGAAGACAUUUUCAGGAACAUUCCUCCAC